GAGCACAUACUUGGUUGCUUGAAAUCGAACCCGUCUUUCAACUUUUUUGGAUGGAUCUUUCAGAUAAUCAAUAAUUUCUUUCCUCCAAUCAUCGGCACCGACUACCGAUGUCGCAUUAAUCAUUGGCUGAUAUCCCGAGGCAUGCUGAGCUAACUGAUUAGCGUCUUCAUUAUGCAAUCGGGGAACAUGCUCCAAUCGGAAAUCCUUGAAUUCCUUUAACAGUUGC
rnacentral:lncRNA from 1 species